UGGGGGGCGUCCGGGGACUGGGGACCCUGGGAAGGAGUGGAGGGGACCCGCAAGAUUAAAGGACACCCGCCCGAGGGGAGUCGAGGCACGCUAGGGACUGGAGUGUAGGGGGGUAACCCGACAAGCUGAGAAAGGGACCAGUGGAAGGCAGUCCGACGGCACGUGGAGCGCCCGGGAUCCUGGAGGAGACAGCUGGAAGGCGUGUGUUCGGGAGAUCUGGGAGGGGUCGGCACCUGGUGCGUGCCGAGAAACCUUUGCUCGGGGUUUGCAAACCCCACGUCCCGCCUGCUGCCACCGCCGCCGCUUCCCAGCUCCCGAUGGACAGUAGAGACAAAGAACUCUUCCGCUAACUCGAAUCCUAGCGCCAUUCUCGCCCCUCACCCCUCGCUGCGCAUUGCCAUGCUGGGGAACUGUGCCGCUGGCGUGACCCUCUAGGCGCUGUGCCCGCGGAGCCUGGGCACAGACAUCCCGAGGGAACAUUGAGGGCAGAGCAGGGAGCCGCUGCACCCAUAUUUAUUCCUUUUUUCGCAAUCCCGAAAUUGCCCUCCCCAGGGAUUUUAGGGGGUGGGUGAAAGGAAUCCCUGUAUUCCUGCUGUCUGGGGGGAGAGGGAGGCUGCGCCGAACCGCUUCCCCAGAACCUAGGGCUAUUUGGUCUUUGUCCAGCGCCACGGCAGUUUUAAAAAACUAGUAGGUUCGCCCCGUUGAGCACGGGGGAAGGUCUGGGGAGGCGGCCCAAGGGGAGCGUCUGUUUGACUUGCCAGUAAAAAUCCUGAGUGGCCUAGGAGGAAGUUGGGCUUGGCACAUGGUGGGGAAGCAGGGGUGGGGGCCGGCUCUGGGUUUUCCUCUGGUACACAGCAUUCCCAUGAAGCCGCGGGGAGUUGUGCCUGGAGGAGCUGAUGAAACCUGCGCUCGGGCUUGCAUGAUGAAACUGCUCACCCAGGCUCACCGCUCCCCUCUAAUCUCUCUGCCCCUUGCCACGCUCUCCACUCCUUGGUGUGUGUGGGGAGGGGAGGGGGGAGGAGACAAAACCCAAGUCCCAGAAUCCCAGCACUGGCCUUGCUUAAAAGGCGGAGACUUGCAGCUGCCGCCAGUCCCGUCGACUUGAGUCUUUUACACCAACUUGCCUGACCCUGAACACAGAAUCCUGAAAUGUUGCAGCAGGGAAGAAAUCUUAGAAAUGACCUAAUCCAGCCUCUUUAUUUUUACAAGUGGGAGAAUUGAGGCCGAGGGUGGUUAAAAGGGACUUCCCUAUGGUCAGAUGAAAAAUCCAUCUGUCUUAUCCAGAUUUCAUGGAGAGAAUGGCCUUUUAGCACAUACAAAGUAGUUCUCUUUUUACUAUUAUCCCCAUUUUACAGAUGAUAGGCCUGAAGCUCAGAGAUUCCGACUAUAUUGGCCUUUAGAUCACUUCCAACUGUGGAAUUCAGUGAAAAAGGAUUUACCUGUGAUCACCCAGCUAGAUUGGAACCCCUUCUUGCCCCAAGACCUCAAUAACAGGUGAAGGCAGACUAGAUAAAUCUCCUUGCACCUAGUUCUGAAAAGGAUGUUCUCUUUGUCACACUUCUCAGUGACUUGUGUUGACCCUCCUUCCUGAAGAACUUUUAUUUCCUCAUUUUUAAAUGACAACGCUGGAUUAGCUGUUCUUUCCAGCCUUUCUGCUCGCUGUAGGUUGUCUUUAUUAGAAUCUAAAUACCUUGAGGUCUUGUUUGUAUUAUACUUCUCUGCUUGGGUGCCUGGCACAGCCGAGGCACUUAAUAAAUGCUUGUUUUUCCCUAAA